rnacentral:rRNA from 1 species
CCCUUAGAUGUCCUGGGCUGCACGCGCGCUACACUUAUGUGUCCAGUAAGCACCUAACCUAUUCCGAGAGGAGCGGGUAACCUUAGCAAAGCACAUCGUGAUGGGGAUAGAUUAUUGCAAUUAUUAGUCUUGAACGAGGAAUUCCUAGUAAGCACAAGUCAUCAGCUUGUGUUGAUUACGUCCCUGCCCUUUGUACACACCGCCCGUCGCUCCUACCGAUUGAAUGUUCCGGUGAGCUCUUCGGACUGCGCGGUCUGCAGUUUCUGCGUUCCGUGCGGAAAGUUGUGCAAACCUUAACAUUUAGAGGAAGGAGAAGUCGUAACA